ensembl:snRNA U6 U6 spliceosomal RNA
AUGCACAUCUUCAGCUGCAUGAAGAUGAAAAUUGGAACACAGAGAAGGUUAGCAUCACCCCAUACAAGAAUGAUGACAUGCAAAGUCAGGAUAGGUUUUAUAUUUUU